rnacentral:rRNA from 1 species
GAUGAACGCUAGCGGCAGGCUUAAUACAUGCAAGUCGAGGGGCAGCAUGUCCCGCAGCAAUGCGGGAUGAUGGCGACCGGCAAACGGGUGCGGAACACGUACACAACCUUCCUUUAAGUG